rnacentral:rRNA from 1 species
GGACUACCCGGGUUUCUAAUCCCGUUUGCUCCCCUGGCUUUCGCGCCUCAGCGUCAGAAGGGGUCCAGCACGCCGCUUUCGCCACCGGCGUUCCUUCCGAUAUCUACGCAUUUCACCGCUCCACCGGAAGUUCCGCAUGCCCCUACCCCCCUCGAGGCCGCCAGUAUCAGAAGCCGUUCCCCGGUUGAGCCGGGGGAUUUCACCCCUGACUUGGCGGCCCGCCUACGCGCCCUUUAAGCCCAGUGAUUCCGAACAACGUUCGCACGGUUCGUCUUACCGCGGCUGCUGGCAC